rnacentral:rRNA from 1 species
UAUGUGAUCGUCUCUCGCAUAUCAAUAAGCGGAGGAAAAGAAACUAACAAGGAUUCCCCUAGUAACGGCGAGUGAAGCGGGAAGAGCUCAAAUUUGAAAUCUUAAAGGGUUUCCCUUUACGAAUUGUAGUUUAAAGAAGUGUUUUCUGUUGAGGUUUUGGUAAAAGUUCUUUGGAAUAGGACAUCAUAGAGGGUGAGAAUCCCGUAUUUGACCUUUACUUUCAACUUUGUGAUCACACUUUCAAAGAGUCGGAUUGUUUGGGAAUGCAGUCCAAAAUGGGUGGUAAAUUUCAUCUAAAGCUAAAUAUUGGCGAGAGACCGAUAGCGAACAAGUACCGUGAGGGAAAGAUGAAAAGAACUUUGAAAAGAGAGUUAAACAGUACGUGAAAUUGUCAAAAGGGAAGCGUUUGACACCAGUGUUGUUUUUCUGAAAAUCAAUUAAUGAACUGUUUAUGCUAAGCUGUUUAGACUUUAUCAGCUAUCUGCUUUAGUUUUGAGCUUUUCUUUAAUGCACUUUUCAGUUAACAAGUCAACAUCAAUUUCUUUUGCUGUAAAAAAGCUUGAGGAAGGUGGCUUGAGAUUCGUCUUAAGUGUUUAUAGCCUCUUGCCUAUGCAGUCGGAGAGAUUGAGGUCUGCAGCGUAGAUCCUUCGGGGCUAAAUGCAUUUGUGCUAAGUUAUAGCAUUUUAUAGACAACUUGUUGACUAUGAUUUGUCUUGCUAGCUUACUCGCUUAUGUUAUUUUACCUACGCUUAGGAUGUUGAGUCGUAGAGCACGCAG